AUCGAUAAAUUCGAAGCGGUGCAACUGGAUUGACAAGUAGUCAUCGUACUCCUACAGAAGUCGAAGCUCAGCUGAGAAGCGAUCAAGAAGUCAAAAUGCCGGGACCAGGAUGCGACAAGUGCACAGAUAAGUGCCAGGAUUGCAAAUGCGGCGAUUCGUGCAAGUGCUGCAACUCCUCAUGCGGAGACAAAUGUGUUUGCAAAGCUGGUGGACAAUGCAACUGUAAGCCAUGUAAGUGCUAAAGUGGAUCAUCAACGCUAAGGAUGGAUAUUACGACGAUAAGCUAGUAGUGGAGGUUCUAGAUAUCAUUAUAUCUAUUUGAAGUCUCUAUCAAUAUUACCACAUAAUGACCAAUAAAGUGCAGUGAUAUAGAUUAUCUCCCUAUAUCAGGAGAUUUCGUUGAAAAGAAAUCUGUCCUAUUAUACACGCAGCUAAUGUAUUCAUUAUAGCGUUAAAAAUCAUUUAUUUAUUUGUCAGAUCCCAUUAUAUGUAUGUUUCAGAAAAUGCUUUUUGUACAAUAAUUGUUACUUUUUUCGUGGGAAAUAAAACGAAAAUUCUAUAGUA